GACAGAGGGGGGCAAGCGUUGCUCGGAAUUACUGGGCGUAAAGGGCGCGUGGGCGGGAUGGCAAGUCGGUCGUGAAAUCCCUCGGCUCAACUGAGGAACGUCGAUCGAUACUGCCGUUCUUGAGGGUUGCAGAGGAGACUGGAAUUCCCGGUGUAGCGGUGAAAUGUGUAGAGAUCGGGAGGAACACCGGUGGCGAAGGCGGGUCUCUGGGCAACUCCUGACGCUGAGGCGCGAAAGCGUGGGGGAGCAAACGGGG
rnacentral:rRNA from 1 species